GCCUGUCGCCGGUCGGCGGCCGGCUGCCUCUGUACCCGUGCCUACCGUACCCCUGUUGCUUUGGCGAGGCGCCCCUCCGCGGGGCCAGCGGCUCCGGCGGCUGCGUCCUCGCCAGAGACCCGAAAACCCAUGCCUAUCAGUGAUGUCUGAGCACUAUCGAAAUAGUUCAAAACUUUCAACAACGGAUCUCUUGGUUCUGGCAUCGAUGAAGAACGCAGCGAAAUGCGAUAAGUAAUGUGAAUUGCAGAAUUCAGUGAAUCAUCGAAUCUUUGAACGCACAUUGCGCCCUUUGGUAUUCCGAAGGGCAUGCCUGUUCGAGCGUCAUUACAACCACUCCAGCCCCUUGCGGCUGGGCCUUGGGGUGCCCGGCUCCGGGACCCCUAAAAUCAGUGGCGGCGCUGGCCGGCCCUGCGCGCAGUAGACCAUCCUCGCGUCUGGGUCCGGCUGGUGUCCUGCCAGCAACCCCCCCUUUCUCUCCAGGUUGACCUCGGAUCAG
rnacentral:rRNA from 1 species